ACGGAAGGCAGCAGUGGGGAAUAUUGGGCAAUGGGCGCAAGCCUGACCCAGCAACGCCGCGUGAGUGAUGAAGGUCUUCGGAUUGUAAAACUCUUUAAGCAGGGAAGAAGAAAGUGACGGUACCUGGAGAAAAAGCAACGGCUAACUACGUGCCAGCAGCCGCGGUAAUACGUAGGUUGCAAGCGUUGUCCGGAUUUACUGGGUGUAAAGGGCGUGUAGGCGGAGCUGCAAGUCAGAUGUGAAAUCCCGGGGCUCAACCCCGGAACUGCAUUUGAAACUGUAGCCCUUGAGUAUCGGAGGGGCAAGCGGAAUUCCUAGUGUAGCGGUGAAAUGCGUAGAUAUUAGGAGGAACACCAGUGGCGAAGGCGGCUUGCUGGACGACAACUGACGCUGAGGCGCGAAAGCGUGGGGAGCAAACAGGAUUAGAUACCCUGGUA
rnacentral:rRNA from 1 species